rnacentral:rRNA from 1 species
CCUACGGGGGGCAGCAGUGAGGAAUAUUGGUCAAUGGCCGCAGGGCUGAACCAGCCAAGUCGCGUGAGGGAUGACGGUCCUAUGGAUUGUAAACCUCUUUUGUCAGGGAGCAAAGGGCGCCACGUGUGGCGCUUUGCGAGUACCUGAAGAAAAAGCAUCGGCUAACUCCGUGCCAGCAGCCGCGGUAAUACGGAGGAUGCGAGCGUUAUCCGGAUUUAUUGGGUUUAAAGGGUGCGCAGGCGGAAUGUCAAGUCAGCGGUAAAAUUUCGGGGCUCAACCCCGUCGUGCCGUUGAAACUGGCGUUCUUGAGUGAGCGAGAAGUAUGCGGAAUGCGUGGUGUAGCGGUGAAAUGCAUAGAUAUCACGAAGAACUCCGAUUGCGAAGGCAGCAUACCGGCGCUCAACUGACGCUCAUGCACGAAAGCGUGGGUAUCGAACAGGAUUAGAUACACUAGUAGUC